CCUACGGGUGGCAGCAGUGAGGAAUAUUGGUCAAUGGACGCGAGUCUGAACCAGCCAUGCAGCGUGAAGGAAGACUGCCCUAUGGGUUGUAAACUUCUUUUGUACGGGGGUAAACGCAGGUACGUGUAUCUGUCUGAAAGUAUCUUACGAAUAAGGAUCGGCUAACUCCGUGCCAGCAGCCGCGGUAAUACGGAGGAUUCAAGCGUUAUCCGGAUUUAUUGGGUUUAAAGGGGGCGUAGGCGGUCGGAUAAGUUAGAGGUGAAAUUCCGAGGCUCAACCUCGGAAUUGCAUUUGAUACUGGCAGGCUAGAGAGUAGUUGCGGUAGGCGGAAUGUAUGGUGUAGCGGUGAAAUGCUUAGAGAUCACACAGAACACCGAUUGCGAAGGCAGCUUACCAAGCUACUUCUGACGUUGAGGCACGAAAGCGUGGGGAGCAAACAGGAUUAGAUACCCUAGUAGUC
rnacentral:rRNA from 1 species